rnacentral:rRNA from 1 species
CGUUAGCGGCGGACGGGUGAGUAACACGUGGGUAACCUACCUAUAAGACUGGGACAACUUCGGGAAACCGGAGCUAAUACCGGAUAAGAUAUCGAACCGCAUGGUUCGAUAGUGAAAGAUGGUUUUGCUAUCACUUAUAGAUGGACCCGCGCCGUAUUAGCCAGUUGGUGAGGUAACGGCUCACCAAGGCAACGAUACGUAGCCGACCUGAGAGGGUGAUCGGCCACACUGGAACUGAGACACGGUCCAGACUCCUACGGGAGGCAGCAGGU